AUUGAACGCUGGCGGCAGGCCUAACACAUGCAAGUCGGACGGUAGCACAGAGGAGCUUGCUCCUCGGGUGACGAGUGGCGUACGGGUGAGUAAUGUCUGGGGAUCUGCCCGAUAGAGGGGGAUAACCACUGGAAACGGUGGCUAAUACCGCAUAACGUCGCAAGACCAAAGAGGGGGACCUUCGGGCCUCUCACUAUCGGAUGAACCCAGAUGGGAUUAGCUAGUAGGCGGGGUAACGGCCCACCUAGGCGACGAUCCCUAGCUGGUCUGAGGGGAUGACCAGCCACACUGGAACUGAGACACGGUCCAGACUCCUACGGGAGGCAGCAGUGGGGAAUAUUGCACAAUGGGCGCAAGCCUGAUGCAGCCAUGCCGCGUGUAUGAAGAAGGCCUUCGGGUUGUAAAGUACUUUCAGCGGGGAGGAAGGCGAUGUGGUUAAUAACCGCAUUGAUUGACGUUACCCGCAGAAGAAGCACCGGCUAACUCCGUGCCAGCAGCCGCAGUAA
rnacentral:rRNA from 1 species